GACGAACGCUGGCGGCGUGCUUAACACAUGCAAGUCGAACGGAAAGGCCCUGCUUUUGUGGGGUGCUCGAGUGGCGAACGGGUGAGUAACCCGUGAGUAACCUGCCCUUGACUUUGGGAUAACUUAAGGAAACUGGGGCUAAUCCCGGAUAGGAGCUCCUGCUGCUUGGUGGGGGUUGGAAAGUUUCGGCGGUUGGGGAUGGACUCGCGGCUUAUCAGCUUGUUGGUGGGGUAGUGGCUUACCAAGGCUUUGACGGGUAGCCGGCCUGAGCGGGUGACCGGCCACAUUGGGACUGAGAUACGGCCCAGACUCCUACGGGAGGCAGCAGUGGGGAAUAUUGCACAAUGGGCGGAAGCCUGAUGCAGCAACGCCGCGUGCGGGAUGACGGCCUUCGGGUUGUAAACCGCUUUCGCCUGUGACGAAGCGUGAGUGACGGUAAUGGGUAAAGAAGCACCGGCUAACUACGUG
rnacentral:rRNA from 1 species